AAAUGGAGAUGAUUUAGAUUUGGGAGCAGAAGACCCCCUACCCAAUGAUCGCCCAGUAAUUGAACCUAUUGGGACAGGGUUUGAAUCAUCCCUUAUUGCUACACAUGCUAUCACACAGACCAUUAAGCAACAUUUUCUUCAUCCACGACCUACAUGGGGAGCGAUGGAAGAUAGUGAUAAGGAUGCCUUCUUCCAAUGUUUUAAGCGUAAGGUGGCAUGGAGACCCGAGGAUGAGGAAAAAAUAAAGAAAAUUUUUCACUCAAAAGCCUCUCAUAGAUUAUUUGAUAUGUUUAAUGAAGCUCGGAAAGCAGGUAAAAAGCCACUUUGGGUUAGAGAAGAUGUGUGGAACCAAUUGGUAGCACAUUGGAAUUCAGCUGCUUUUCGAGUAAAGUCUACACAAGCCUCACUAAAUCGAGCGUCUGAAAAGGGUGGGACUUUUCAUACAGGUGGCUCAAUUACAGUUCAUGAUCAUACCAAGCGCAUGAUAUGCAAAAGAAUUUGGUCGCUCAGUGCAUAUUGAUGAGGUCUUUCAACAGACCCAUAUACGAAAAGAUACUGGACAGUUUGUUGAUGAAAGAUCUAACAAAACAUAUGAAGAUUUUCUCAAUAAAUUUUCUCAAGCUAUGUCUGAGGAUGCAUCAUCUGUUGAUGAAUCACAUCUUAUGGAUCCUGGUUUGGAGGAUACAAUUAGGUCUAAGUGUUGGUCUGAUGCAGUUGGUGGCAUGACCACUAAGGGGCGACUGUAUGGAGCUAGAGACCUUGCUCGUCAUUUAAAAGAUACACAGAGCAGUCACGUCGACGUCAAUCUUAAAAGGAAAGCAUCUUGUAGCAGUUCACAUGACACAGAAGACAUUGUUCAAUUGAAACAAUGACUUGCAGAAAAUGAACAACAACUUGCAGAAAAUGAUGUGGUUAUUCGUCAGUUGCAACAGUUUCAAUCAAUUGUCUUGCAAUUCUUACCCACAGAAACACAAACUGUCAUUCAAAAUAUUUUUCAACAACAAAAUAUCAACCUAGAUCAACAAAAUGGGGAACAACAUCAAAACCAACAACAAGAAGAUGACCAAAACAAAAAUCAACAAGACUCUCCUAAUUAUGAAGAUUAUUAGUUAGCAUUAGAAAAAUAUUAAUUACUCUAUUUGA